rnacentral:rRNA from 1 species
AGAUUGAACGCUGGCGGCAUGCUUUACACAUGCAAGUCGAACGGUAACGCGGGGGCAACCCUGGCGACGAGUGGCGAACGGGUGAGUAAUACAUCGGAACAUGUCCUGGAGUGGGGGAUAGCUCGGCGAAAGCCGGAUUAAUACCGCAUACGCUCUGAGGAGGAAAGCGGGGGACCCGUAAGGGCCUCGCGCUGCGGGAGUGGCCGAUCGUCGGAUUAGCUAGUUGGUGAGGUAAAGGCUCACCAAGGCGACGACUCCGUAGCUGGUCUGAGAGGAUGAUCAGCCA